rnacentral:rRNA from 1 species
CUCUGGGCCGUAACUGACGCUGAGGAGCGAAAGGGUGGGGAGCAAACAGGCUUAGAUACCCUGGUAGUCCACCCCGUAAACGUUGGGAACUAGUUGUGGGGUCCAUUCCACGGAUUCCGUGACGCAGCUAACGCAUUAAGUUCCCCGCCUGGGGAGUACGGCCGCAAGGCUAAAACUCAAAGGAAUUGACGGGGACCCGCACAAGCGGCGGAGCAUGCGGAUUAAUUCGAUGCAACGCGAAGAACCUUACCAAGGCUUGACAUAUACGAGAACGGGCCAGAAAUGGUCAACUCUUUGGACACUCGUAAACAGGUGGUGCAUGGUUGUCGUCAGCUCGUGUCGUGAGAUGUUGGGUUAAGUCCCGCAACGAGCGCAACCCUCGUUCUAUGUUGCCAGCACGUAAUGGUGGGAACUCAUGGGAUACUGCCGGGGUCAACUCGGAGGAAGGUGGGGAUGACGUCAAAUCAUCAUGCCCCUUAUGUCUUGGGCUUCACGCAUGCUACAAUGGCCGGUACAAAGGGCUGCAAUACCGCGAGGUGGAGCGAAUCCCAAAAAGCCGGUCCCAGUUCGGAUUGAGGUCUGCAACUCGACCUCAUGAAGUCGGAGUCGCUAGUAAUCGCAGAUCAGCAACGCUGCGGUGAAUACGUUCCCGGGUCUUGUACACACCGCCCGUCAAGUCAUGAAAGUCGGUAACACCUGAAGCCGGUGGCCUAACCCUUGUGGAGGGAGCCGUCGAAGGUGGGAUCGGUAAUUAGGACUAAGUC